UGCAGUCGAACGCUGAAGCUUGGUGCUUGCACUGGGUGGAUGAGUGGCGAACGGGUGAGUAAUACGUGAGUAACCUGCCCUUGACUCUGGGAUAAGCCUGGGAAACUGGGUCUAAUACUGGAUACGACAUGUCACCGCAUGGUGGUGUGUGGAAAGGGUUUUACUGGUUUUGGAUGGGCUCACGGCCUAUCAGCUUGUUGGUGGGGUAAUGGCUCACCAAGGCGACGACGGGUAGCCGGCCUGAGAGGGUGACCGGCCACACUGGGACUGAGACACGGCCCAGACUCCUACGGGAGGCAGCAGUGGGGAAUAUUGCACAAUGGGCGAAAGCCUGAUGCAGCGACGCCGCGUGAGGGAUGACGGCCUUCGGGUUGUAAACCUCUUUCAGCACGGAAGAAGCGAAAGUGACGGUACGUGCAGAAGAAGCGCCGGCUAACUACGUGCCAGCAGCCGCGGUAAUACGUAGGGCGCAAGCGUUGUCCGGAAUUAUUGGGCGUAAAGAGCUCGUAGGCGGUUUGUCGCGUCUGCUGUGAAAGCCCGGGGCUUAACCCCGGGUGUGCAGUGGGUACGGGCAGACUUGAGUGCAGUAGGGGAGACUGGAAUUCCUGGUGUAGCGGUGAAAUGCGCAGAUAUCAGGAAGAACACCGAUGGCGAAGGCAGGUCUCUGGGCUGUUACUGACGCUGAGGAGCGAAAG
rnacentral:rRNA from 1 species